CCCUUAGAUGUUCUGGGCUGCACGCGCGCUACACUGACAUACUCAGCAAGUUUCCUUGCCUGAAAGGGUUGGGUAAUCUUGUUAGUGUAUGUCGUGAUGGGGAUAGAAUAUUGUAAUUAUUGUUCUUUAACGAGGAAUUCCUAGUAAGCGCAAGUCAUCAGCUUGCGUUGAUUACGUCCCUGCCCUUUGUACACACCGCCCGUCGCUCCUACCGAUUGGGUGAUCCGGUGAAUGAUUCGGACUCUGGCUAUGCUAGCUACUAGCUACGUCAGGGAAAGUUUUGUGAACCUUAUCACUUGGAGGAAGGAGAAGUCGUAACA
rnacentral:rRNA from 1 species